AAGACGCUGACGUCACCUUUUUUCUUGUAUCCUUGGGGAUACUGUGUUUUCUUCUAGGCCCUUCACUACAGUUCUGUGCUGAUUCCUUUACAAAACCAGUGUUACCCACCCUCUUACAGGCCUCCUUCCAUGUGUGUGAAUGAAGAAGCUGUUGCUUCUAGAAGCAAGUGUGUGUCCUAAGCCAGUGGACACUUAGCUCAAGAAGAAAGCUCAGGACUCCCAGCUCUGCCUAAGCAUUACAGUCUUUCCUCCCAGACAGUCCAAGGUCUUGUUGCUGGACCAGCCCUCACCGUCCCAGGCCUUUGGAGUCCCCAUCGCCACAGGAGGCUCAAGCACAGCUAGCAGGUGCGGUUGAAGGAAGGCCCUGCCACCCAGAUCAGCCCCUUCUCAGAGCAGCUGUGAGUGACACCAGGACUCGCGGUCAGCGAGGGGAACUACCCACAGAAAGAGAUGCUGGGGCAGUUGCGGAGAACGGGUCCCUCCUUCGGGGCAAAGGAAGCCAGCUGACUAGGAGACCUCAGCUUGGUCUGCUUAAGCAGAGAUGUGCUGGAUGCAGAAAGACACCUUGGCGAGAAGAAAACCAAGUCGCAGGCGGGCGAUCAGGGGGGUCUGAUGAAGUGUCUCCCAGGGGGACGUCACACACGCUUCCUGGAAGCCGUCUGCUGGAACAGCGAGUAGUGUUGGUGAGAUGCCAAACUCUGCUUCUUGGAACACUUUAAUGUUUUAAAAUGUGUGUAUCACAUUUUGUUUGUAAAGAUGUAUUGAUCUGUA